GUGAGUGUGGAGGUGGCAAGCAGCAGUGGGGGGCAGGAUGACAUCAUAGAGCUUCUGGGUCCACACAUGCCUGAAGCCUGCCGACCUGAUUACGUGAGCCAACUAAUUCUCUCCCGGCCACGGCGAGCACUCAAAACAGGCUCACCCAACGCCACCCCCAAUCCCUCUCGCACUCUACUAGAGCCCCAAAACCUCAAUCGAUACUUCCCAUCCUCCUUUGCAGCAAGGAUGACAUGUGACCUUUAUGGCCGAUGGUGAAGUCCCUGAGGAGGACGGGCCUUCCUGAAUGACAGGAAACCCUCUCAGGGGACUGCAGGCUGGCUUUCCCACUUCCGGCCCUUCCACUUUCCUGCUGCUUGGAACGUGGAGGGGCUGGGAGGUGCCACCAUCUUGCAGCUCCAAGGUGACAAGCCAGCACGAGAUUCAGGACAAGUGCAGACUGUGACCGGACCAGAAGGAGCCAGGAGCCCGGUGGCAUUACUGGCUGUUUGCAGUGGGGGGCUCAGCUGGCGGCUCCUGGCACCUGCAGAGGAGGGCACACGGCCAGGGCCUGGAGCCUUUGAAGAGGGAGUGGCCUCCCACCCUGACCAGCUCUGCCCCUUUCCUUCCAGUGAGGCUGCCUGUCUCCUGCCCCCUGCAGCGGUGCUGUGGGUGCCCUUAGAGCCUGAAGGCGGAUCCGUGGAGAUGUGGGGGUGCUGUUCUCCUGUGGUUGCUGCUGGCAGGAGGGCCUGAGAGUGUGCCACAGCUGGACUGUGUCCCAGCACCCGGGCACCUGCUCCUGGGGAACAGCAGCAAUGGCAGCCUCCUAACCCCUGGGGGCGGUCAUAGUGGUGAGUUUGGAGUGGCCCCUGACUCUCUCCUCCAUGUUGCGGAGUCUGUAGCAGCAACCCCAGGUCACUUCCGGGGUCUUCUGGGAGCCAUGCCUGCGCCCACCCCAGCGACCACCCCCUGAGCACGUCGCAGGAUUUUUCGAGCACCCAAUCCCCUGUGUCAAAUCUCCUCCUGCUGAAGGCACCUGGGGAGGUGGUUUCUAGUUCCCGCACCAGAG
rnacentral:lncRNA from 1 species